ensembl:lncRNA
GUGGUGCUGCCGGCCCUUUUAAAACAGCUGACGUGUCAUUUUGCCAGUGGGACGAACCCAUGGACGUUUACCGCACGUCUCUUCCGCCGGUUGUGCUUCUUGUGUGAACGUGUGUGCGCUUUGUGUGUAGUCAGGCAGGUGCUCAGGGCCGUCCGGCGGAGCCACACCGGGAGAGAUCUCAGGUCAGAGGGGUCUGAGGUCAAUGCGCAUGUGUUUGCACACGUGUGUGCGCACGUAUUGUAGUCCGUAGGUAGGCGUAGGUAGACGUGUGUGCGUGCGUGCGUGUAACUGACAUGCUGUCAUCAGUGUGUACCGACCCCCAGCUGCAGUGCGGCUGAUUGGUCCUUUGGGAGAACAACAGAGGGCCUUUUUGUCCGGUCCAACAGAGCGCUCGCUCACUCACGGCUUUCUUUUGCUUCUUAAAAACAAGAGUGUGCAGAGCUGGGAGAUGAGUAGUGGCGUCUUUCAGGGAACAAUGUUUGUUAAAGUACUUUAAACAAGCAUUUGUACAGUUGUGAUUGAUGGAAGUGAAAGACUUCAGUAACUCAUCAAACUGAACAGUGACUUUUGCUGCGUUUCUCUCUUGUCUCACUUCACAACGUCAAACAUGUGCUAAAAAAAAUGUUCGAAAAUAGGUUUUCUUUGAAAUUUAAUUGCAAAUGCAGUUAAUUUCUGUGGGAAAGUCAUUUUUAGGAGAUGGGGUUGCUUAAAGCUCAGUCUGCCUUUUUAAAUUCAACUCUCUUCCUAUAAAAUCUGCAACAAUACUGCUUCUGACAUGCUCUUGAGGGCUCCUCUCUGAUGGGUCUUCAUCUGUCUUUCACCGCAAAAAACACAUCAGGUAUCCUGGAAUUAUUUUUAAAAGAAGCACCGCUAUGCACCAGAGAAGCACCACCAAAUAAAAUGACAGAACGGUGUCAUUAAUACCUCAUAUCGCUCACACACACUGUACAUUAAACUCGGUUAACUCCAAACCACAAGCAGCCUAAUCAGACGUGUGAGAAAAGGUUCAGCAUGGAAGCACUUUCAGCUCUCGGCCCGAGUAGUGAACCGUGUAGUUUCGCGGUGCCACACGUCUUUCCUGUGUUGCUUUAUGGAUGUGUGGCGACGUAAGUGAUUCCAGACGCGUGCGGCUGCGACGUGACGCAAAGAAACCCGCGUGCACAGACGUGUGCGUGUGCUGUUAAACCUUCUAUCUAUAGGAGCAGCUCUGUGGAUGCAGAUGUUCUGUUGAGGGACAGAGUGCUUUUCUAGGCAAAACUAUUGUGUUUCUUCUUCUUGAGCCGCUUUAAUCGCCUUUGUGUGUGGAUCACCAAGUCCGUGCAUUUAUAAGAGCAAACCCACGCUCCCCUUUUUUUCCCUCCUUUGAAUUGCAAUCAUUAUGUCUAUUAAUUACCUGUGAAAUGGCUUUCAGGCUGAAGCUGGCCGGCUGCUUUCAGGCUGCCAGCAGGCAUCGAGCCACCGGGCCAAAUAUCCAGGGCAACGCUCGCAUUCGCAAGAUCCCAGAAUGCAUUUAGUAAUGAAAAGCAAAGAGCUGCCAAUUAUACCUCAAUGCCUUAUUUUUAAAAGUAUCAUUAUUUUUCUUUAAUAAUUUGGGUGUCAUUUUCAUUAUUUUUAUGCAUUUUGCCUUUAAGCUUCGGGCUUUUCCAUCAGAUCAAACAACGGACAGCACACUGGAAAUUUAUAUUUUCUCCUCUCCACAUUUGUACAGUUUGAACGAUGGAGGACUAAAUGUUUCUGCCUUCUCUCCAUCAUCCGAUGCAUUUCUUCCCACCGUUUUCCUUCGAUUGCGGCAUUCUUUUGAACACUUUUCAACUUUUCACUCAGCGACGGUGGGAUAAAAUAUGUUGUAUCACACAAACCCGUAAAAACCACUUUGAUUGAAUCAGUCACGAGCAAACAAACACACGCACACGCAAUUACACACUUGACGUUGACCACGAGCAAUUAGAGUAUUUAUCCACCGUAAGCAGCAGCAAAUACGUCUGUGACCCUCCGACCACACACGGAGCAACACUCACAUACGCACAAAUGAAUCCACACCUUCUCUCAGAUUUAAGAAGGAAAAUAUUACUAAUGUGUACUUUUUCAUGUUUAAAAUAAUAUCCACCACAUCACAUCUCUUCCAUCGACUGAACCCUUUGUCCUCCGCAGAAAGGCCACCAUAAUUGUCAUGAUAUGAUUCACUCUCCUGAAUUUACAUAAUAAUGGCGAAUAUACUUUUGUCUUUGGAGUGGACGGGCCCCUCCCAGCAUGCAGUGCAGCGAGGCCCCUGGCAGCAUGCAUCCUCUCAGUGAAAGAGCAGCCAGGUGGAGAGGCCCAUUCACUGCAAACUGACCUUGACAGAGUGAUUGAAUCCCGUUUCCGCUUGCUGCUCCAACUCCCCCCGCCCCCACGACCCCACCCACGACCCCCACAACCGCCCUCUCCUCCAUCUUUCAUUCACCUCCUCUGACUGACGCUUCCCAUCAAUGUGCUCUCUGUUCCCAGCUUGAGAAGUUCCACUUGCUUCUCUGUCCAUCUUGUCCAUCUCGCUGGUUUCUCUCACCUCAAAGGGAAGAAGAUAUUUGUCAGGUGUGUCCGACAUUGAAUUUGUUUAUUUACACCAAUAAACCAAUAAAAUACUUUAUUCUUAAUGUAAUGCUGAGUUAGCAUAUUCAGGCUUAGAGGUUUUGUGAAAUCUUCCCUUUCUGGGCAGGAGGUUGAUUUUAGAAACGAUAGCACUCUCUGCGUCAUGAGAAGUGAGAGCCAGCAGCCGGGCUAACUUAGCUUAGCACAAAGACUGAAAACGGGGGGAAACAGCUAGCCUGUCUCCGACUCUCACAACAAAGACAACAAGGGCAGCGACGCGUUUGUCUUUCAGGAGGUUUUUUGGUUAAACGCACAAGCCCUUUUCUUCUGUGGACACGGCCGUCCCAAGUCCCGGUUUGUCUCGCUCUGUCUUCACUCCUUACGCAGCCAGCAGAGCGUGAAGCCUCACAGGUGGACUCGGCCUCCAACAGCCUGGAACAGCACUUCCACCCUGGAAGCAAAUCAGCGCACUGCAAGGCAAACAAAAUGACUCGUCUCCGGGAUUCUGUGUAUUUGUAAUUGUCGUCAAAUUCUACUCUCUCGCUAUUUUUGUAAAUAGGGAGUAAAACUGUGUGAGAAGAAAAAAAGAGUUGAAGUUUGUCUUUUCAUGGAUUCCGGGGGGGCAACACUUGGUCACAUAUGCUGAACCACGCGGCUUCACACGAAAAAAACCCUCAUGUGGUUAUUUACAUAACACAUUAUUACAUUCAGCCAGUGUGUUGUUUGCUCAACAAUGCCGUUGAAAUACCACACUCAGUUACCGAUCCCCUGCAACCACAAUGCACCUGUGAAAACACCUGGAGCCAGUUAGAUCCCUUAGAAAUGAGAUUAUUUCAGCGUGAACAAUGGAAGGCAGUUUUUGAGAGACAUUGAGACGUCAUGCUUUAAAUGAUUAAAAUCGGUGACAUUGUGUCUGAUGCUGUUAUGAGGAUUGAGAACGAGCAAAUGUCACGCAUUGGAUUUGUCCCCAAACUCUGCGUUCACGGCCGCUGCAGAUAAAAACACGAUGGCUCAAGAUCAGUGUUUAUAUCUCAUUGUGAUGCAAAAAAAAUAUUUUGAGAAGAGUUUUAAAGAGAGAUUGUUUGUGUUUAAUUGUGUUAAAAAAAAUUCUGGCAAUUACAAAAACUCUAAUUAACAUAUUUGCGCCGUCAAUUGGGGCCAGCGCCUAAAUUAAAUGAAAGAUACAUUCCCAUCAUCUCACACUCCACAUAUCCCCGCAGGCGUUUUCCUCACCCAUGGUUUAUCUGUUGACAAAUCCCACCUCUUGUCCUCCAUCAUGAUGUCAUUGAUGUCCACCCGAGACAUGUGUUCCAGCUGCUGUCUUCUGUCCGUCCCGUUGUCGCGUCCCGCCUCGCUGUGCGCCGCUAUCAGCAAACGUCUGCGGCGGCCGUUAUCAAAGAGGGCGCGUGAGUUCCUGUGAUGUGGCCCUCCAGGCCGCUAUCAGGGGAGGAGAGCGCCCCGACCCCCCCCCCCCCCCCCCCCCCCCCACGCUGCCUCCGGCCACGACGGCCUUUAGGUGGGCAGCUUUAUCAGGGGGUGUGGAGGCGUGGAUGGAGAGGAGGAAGUCGGGUCUGGAGUGGCUUUCAAGGAGCCUUUGUGGCCCUGAAACGAGGUCAAUAAAACAGGGCCUGUUAUUGCGUUAAAGGAGCCUCCUUCAGGUUGAAAUAACCAGUCGACAGUCGCUCGAUAAUCGAUGCUGAUGUUUUUUCUUGUCUUCUGGAAAAGGAUCACGUGGGGGUGGGGAUUCCAGGGAGGGACACGCGAGGAGCGAGAAGACCCGAUAAGACCCGAUAAGCCCCGAUCGAGCAGCGGAGUUUUCGCUGUUUUCAGGCCGUCCACACAUGGAGACAAAAGGUUUUCACAAAAACGGUCUGAUGUAAGUAGAACGUACGUAAAUGCGGUACUGAUACAUUUAGUUACAUUCCAACAUCUGUGGCUCCGCUGUUGUUUCCUAUUGAUAAACCUCUGCCAGUUGAGUGAGAGAUGAACCAGGAGGUCUGUUACUCACAAAGAUAAGACAUGGUAUUCCCAGCACACACACACACACACACACACACACACACACAUUGCUGGCAGCACUGAUAACAUUUUGGUCUUUGAUGUGACUCCUAGAGAGAAGAAAGAGUGAAUAAGAAAGAAAAGAGUGAUUGAGAGGGAGGGAAACUGAGAAUGAGAUUACAGGAAUAGCUUCAGGGACGUUGUUUUGUGUUACAGACCACUCCGCCUCACACACACACACACACACACACACACACUCAUCAUUUAUUCCUUAUCAUUCUAUCCUCAUCGUCUUUCCUUUUGGGUGUAAAUUGCGUCUGCAUGAGUGUCUGCUUUAAAAAGAUUUUAAUAUUGACAGCAUUUGGUGGCCAAAUGGGCUGCUGCCCGAUGACAAAAGGAAGACGUCCUUUCACAUGUUAGUAGACUAAGACCGGGUUUAUCAUCAUUACUUAAAAGAGAGUCAGUGGUGUCAUUUUUAUUAGAAAUAGCAGUAGUAUUGAUGUUACAUCAUACUUUUUUCUUAUCUGUAAAUCAACAUACAGAUAUUAUACAUAUAAUUUACCUUUUAUACAGGUAGAUUACAUUUUUAUAACACUAUGUACAAGAUGUACUUCCACAAAAUUGUAAAUACAGGAAUAUCUGAAUACUUACUUAAAUGUAUUUUAAUAAAAGAGGGGAAAAAAGAAUACACAGGUAACUCCGCCCACCAUUACUCACCUGAGCAAACUCCAUCACCACACGUGUCUAUAAGAAUAAGUAACUUCAACACACAGACACACACAAACUGCUUCCCACAGGAUGUUGUGCUUUGAAAUUUGAGUAUGAUAUGAGCGAGAAGAGGAGGAAGAAAUGGAGGGAAGGUGUGUGUGUGUGUGUGUGUGUGUGUGUGUGUGUGUGUGACUUUGUGCACGCACCACUAAAGUAUCCUGAUAAAGAACAUCCAGUUGAAACUCUGGACAAGCGAUUCGUGCUCGAGUGGGAGGGAAGUACUUCAGCACACUGAUAGCAGCACUCAGCGUGUGUCUGUGUGUGUGUGUGUGUGUGUGUGUGUGUGUGUGUGUGUGUGUGUACAUGGCCCAAUGCCAGUUGAAAGGAAUCAAAAAUCACUUGGAUUGGACUUUAUUCUUCUUCACAUAAUCCUUGCAGUAGCAUAUUUCUUGGCGUGGUGAUUAGAAAGGGCUGGAACAUCAACAACUUGUGUCCUCUGUGUCUAUCGCUCCAUCUCUCUCCUCCCGUCUGCCCUUAAAGGAAAAAUAAACCUGACACUUGCAUCCUGGUGAGCAGUGACCUCGCCACCUCAGCAACCCCAAAACACACACGGACACACACACUCUUCUCUUUCCUUCCCUCCAUCCUCCUUUUCUUCUCCCGUUCCCGACUGCUUCGCCUGAACCUGAUUCCACGAAUCACCCAACUCGGGAGGCGGGUAGUGGUGAGCGGCGGAUUUGAACAUUUCAUAUUCUUUCGUGUAUUUGACGCAGGGCAUGCUAAACCAAGCAGGAUGUGCGCUGAGGUCAGCACAAAAGGUCGAGUCACACUGUGACGAGCAAGUGUGAAACACCGGAGCCGGACGAACCGCCCGUGAGUUCGCGGCGACACGCCGGCUGAUACGCACAAUAUUUGUGUGAGGAAAAGUUGCCAACGUGCAAAACGUUCCUUCAGUCCACUAGGACUGUUUCUGUGUUUGACACUCAAAAUAUAGUAUUAGAAACCAACAUGUCCGUGUGCGAUAUGCAUUUGGGUGGGGUUUUUUUCUGCUGACCCUGCACUCUCCGCGUAUCUCAACGUCCAAUGUGUAAUUGUCUUAAAUGUUCAUACCCUUCAGUGAAAAACUGUACGCGGGAUAGAGUGAAAAGGGAAGGAGGAACUUGCUUUGGGCCAAUGGGGAGGGGGAUUGAGGAGAGGAGGAGGAGGAGGAGGAGGAGGAGGAGGAGGAGGAGGAGUGCAGCAACACAUGGUCCCAAUUUCACGGUUGUGGACGGAGGAGUGCCGGCGGAUGCGUGGGCGGGAACAGGCCUGCAAUCUGGAGACAUUAAUACCCCAGUAAUAGUCACAUUCACUUCCACUACCAGGAAACUACUGCUUUGGACCCUUCUAGUGAAUGUGUGUGUUUGUGUGUGUGUGUGUGUGUGUGUGUACCAGGUAGUACACAACACACAUUCUCCACUAAAACAAACUGUUACUCUGUGUUUCUUUUUGCACUCACACACCGUCUUCAGAUGAAUAUGUCUUUGGAGCCCAUUCACUCUCUCCCUCACACACACACACACACACACACACACACACACACACACACACGCAUGCUGAGACAGACCAGACCAUAACAGAGUAGUAAAAGGCAUGCGGCGGGGCAGAGCAGGACACUGACUUCCUGUGCCUCGUGUUCUUCCUGCGCUCUUAAUGAGACCCGGUACAGUAAACCACCGCCUCCUCUUUCAGUGCAUUUCUGCUCUCCUUCGGCCAUCCAUCCGCGAGCCGUCCUUCUCUCACCCGUCUCUGUCUCUUUCAUGCUUCCAGUGUUUGUGCACCGCGGUUUGAGGAGGUUUAAUCUGUGAUUUGUCGGUCCGCGGAUUGUUCAUCUGAUAUUCUAAUAAUUCUAAUACUAGACCGACCUGGAAAGAGGAAUGUUUACAUCCUAAAAGCACGAAUGAGCACGAUAAAUAAUAAAGAGCAGUCUUCUCCGAUAUUUAACUAGACCCAAUCAACAGUAAUAUGUUUUGUUCAGAAUAUCAAAGCUGCCACGAGGAAGUUUUCUUCAAAUGUUGGUGGGUAUUCGGGGGUCAAACAUCAAAUAGGCCUGUUUGUUGCUUGGCUUUUACACAUGAAAACACACACACACACAGUCAGUCAACACUGUGUGGCUAAGUGCUGCUGCUGGACACUACCAGAGGUGUUUCAUCAAUGAAAACCACCUCUGUACGGCCACACUGAGCCACAGACCUGAAGACGAGCUGAAAGAAGCCCUUGGUGAGUCAAUGGGCCGUUCACUCGGGGAGAAAAGGAGGGAGUGAUGGAGAGAGUGUGUACACGGCGAGUAAACCGAGAGAGUCCGUGACACUUUAUCGGCUGAAUCGUGAGCUACAGUCUUUGUUUUAUACCAAACGAAGACGGAUACUUCUCUGAUUUUCAUUUUAACAUCUGCAUUUGUGACAUGCUGUUGAAAAAAUUCUUUACAUUUCAAUACCAGAUUGAACAACUUCUAUGCCUGAUCGUCUUUCGCAUAUAUUAUACGGAUUGGAUAAAAAAGACAAAAAAAUAUAGGGU